rnacentral:rRNA from 1 species
CAUGGUGGGGGGUGGAAAGCUUUUUGUGGUUUUGGAUGGACUCGCGGCCUAUCAGCUUGUUGGUGAGGUAAUGGCUCACCAAGGCGACGACGGGUAGCCGGCCUGAGAGGGUGACCGGCCACACUGGGACUGAGACACGGCCCAGACUCCUACGGGAGGCAGCAGUGGGGAAUAUUGCACAAUGGGCGAAAGCCUGAUGCAGCGACGCCGCGUGAGGGAUGACGGCCUUCGGGUUGUAAACCUCUUUCAGUAGGGAAGAAGCGAAAGUGACGGUACCUGCAGAAGAAGCGCCGGCUAACUACGUGCCAGCAGCCGCGGUAAUACGUAGGGCGCAAGCGUUAUCCGGAAUUAUUGGGCGUAAAGAGCUCGUAGGCGGUUUGUCGCGUCUGCCGUGAAAGUCCGGGGCUCAACUCCGGAUCUGCGGUGGGUACGGGCAGACUAGAGUGAUGUAGGGGAGACUGGAAUUCCUGGUGUAGCGGUGAAAUGCGCAGAUAUCAGGAGGAACACCGAUGGCGAAGGCAGGUCUCUGGGCAUUAACUGACGCUGAGGAGCGAAAGCAUGGGGAGCGAACAGGAUUAGAUACCCUGGUAGUCCAUGCCG